rnacentral:rRNA from 1 species
UGCCAGCCGCCGCGGUAAUACGUAGGGGGCGAGCGUUGUCCGGAUUUAUUGGGCGUAAAGGGCUCGUAGGCGGCUUAGCAAGUCGAUCGUGAAAACUCAGGGCUCAACCCUGAGACGCCGGUCGAUACUGCUAUGGCUAGGGUCCGGUAGAGGAGAAUGGAAUUCCCGGUGUAGCGGUGAAAUGCGCAGAUAUCGGAGGAACACCAGUAGCGAAGGCGGUUCUCUGGGCCGGUACCGACGCUGAGGAGCGAAAGCGUGGGGAGCAAACAGGAUUAGAUA